UACAGAGGUCCCAAGCGUUGUUCGGAUUUACUGGGCGUAAAGGGUGCGUAGGUGGCAGGGUAAGUCUGGUGUGAAAGCUUCGAGCUCAACUCGGAAAAGCAUUGGAAACUAUCCCGCUGGAGGGUCGGAGGGGAGACUGGAAUUCUCGGUGUAGCAGUGAAAUGCGUAGAUAUCGAGAGGAACACCAGUGGCGAAGGCGAGUCUCUGGACGACUCCUGACACUGAGGCACGAAAGCUAGGGGAGCAAACAGG
rnacentral:rRNA from 1 species